AUGAAAAUGAAAAGAAUAACAAAUUCAAAAUCAGUACCAGCAGAGCUGUUAUCUUCUCCCCUUGACCAGCAUUUAAGUGUUGCUUGCUAUUGCUAUUAAGUGUCUUCAAGUCCACCUCAUGUGCCAUUGCCUAAACUUAUGCCACUAACCAACUGUAACAAGUCAGUGACACGGAAUGUUAAGAUGUCAUAGAUGAAUUCUGUGGACAUGUCGCCACGGUGAUGUGCUUCUGUGGCUCAUUUGAACUUGAAGUGCCUCAUUUUAGAGUAGGACACUGAAGAGAGAAGGUGGAUCCCUGCUUGCUCCUGCAUGUCUGAAUGGAGCUCCAUGUUGGCAGAGGCUCAGAUCAAAGGUGUAGUGAUUACAGCUGAUGAGAUGUUUGAUGUGACCUUCAGAAACACUUUGGGGACAUACAUCUCCUUGGAUGUUCAACAGGCCUGAUGGAGCUCAUCAUUCCUCCACUGAGAAGCUCUUCAGUAGAAAAGCAGUCGCUCCGCAGGGGCCAUCAGUGGCUGAUCUCUCUGUGACGGGACAGGAGCAACCACAGAAGAGCACAUCAGUGGCUGAUCUCUCUGUGACGGGACAGGAGCAGCUACAGAAGAGCACAUCAGUGGCUGAUCUCUCUGUGACGGGACAGGAGCAGCUACAGAAGAGCACAUCAGUGGCUGAUCUCUCUGUGACGGGACAGGAGCAGCUACAGAAGAGCACAUCAGUGGCUGAUCUCUCUGUGACGGGACAGGAGCAGCUACAGAAGAGCACAUCAGUGGCUGAUUUCUCUGUGACGGGACAGGAGCAACCACAGAAGAGCACAUCAGUGGCUGAUUUCUCUGUGACCCAGCUGCCAUGGUGCAGCGACCCUAUCAACAUGGGAGGAGAAUGAUGUAUCAGGGAUCGGAUUAAUUGAGGCACAGGUGCAUUCUUGGGCAGGAUAAUCCCUGCACCAUUAUAGGGGGCUGGGUAGUCCAACCAAGUUCCCUUAAACUAUGGAUACAUCUGCAAAAAUGGAUUAUUGAUUGAUUGAUUAUAGUGUAUGGAGCUCCGUGAUACCUGGAUGUAUUGAUAUGCGUACUGACAGAAAGAAGUCAACUUUCAAGGAUAACUAAUAUCAUGGGAUAAAAGGAUAAUCUGUGAGGCAAUACGUGCACUACGGGGCAGAAUAAUCCCUGCACCAUAGCAGAGGAGUUGGGUAGUCCACCCCAGCUCCUCAAAAUGAUGUGCAUUUUACGGAAAUUACGUAAUUAUUGUGAUGUGCAUUUAAUCAAGGAAGUAGAUUCAGAAGUAGCCAGGAUAUGUUUAUUAUCAUGUAUAAUUCCAGCUGUAUCUGUGAGGCAAUGGCUGCACUACGGGGAAGAAUAAUCCCUGCACCACUGCAGGGGAGUUGGGUAGUCCACCCCAGCUCCCCCAUAGAUGCAUCUACAACACUGGAUAUUAUCUUUUUUCUUCCCAAAACUAUGGAUACCCCAGAAACACUGAUUGACUUCACUCUUUUUAAUUCCACAACGCCAGGAUUUAUUUUUUAUUUAACCUGCACUUCCAAAGAAGGGUACAUUUAAAGAUGAAAGCAUAGAAGUUCAUCUUUGGCUGUAUUUAUAAAUCAAUGACUGCACUCCAGGGCAGAAUAAUCUCUGCACCAUUGUAGUGGGGGCUGGGUAGUCCACCCCAGCUCCCCAAAAAACUGAAAAUACUGAUGCAGAUUCACCCCUGGCUGGGUUUAUGUUUUCACCACAGCUUCAUGGAUGCAGGAACCUUUCAAAUAUGGGAGAACAAAACCACAAUGGCUGCAUUUAUGAGCCACAGGUGCAUCCUGGGGCAGAAUAAUCCCCGCACUUUCACAGGGGGGCUGGGUCGUCCACCCCAGCUCCCCAAAAUUAUGUUAAUUUUACGGAAAUUAUGUUCUUUUCUGUGUCCGAGUUCAGGAAUGUAUUGUGAUAUGCAUUUAAUCAAGGAGGUAGAUUUGAAAGUAGACAGGAAAUGUUUAUUAUCAUGUAUAAUUCCAGCUGUAUUUGUGAGACAAUGGCUGCACUACAGGGCAGAAUAAUCCUUGCACCAUUGCUGGGGAGUUGGGUUGUCUACCCCAGCUCCCUAAAACACAGGAGUCUUCUCAGAUGUGCAGCAGAGGAUCGGACAUUGCUGUUUCACCACAGCUUCAUGGAUGCAGGAACCUUUCAAAUAUGGGAGAACAAAACCACAGUGGCUGCAUUAAUGAGCCACAGGUGCAUUCUGGGGCAGAAUAAUCCCCGCACUUUCACAGGGGGGCUGGGUAGUCCACCCCAGCUCCCCAAACCUUGGAUAUGUGUGAAACAUUGCAUCAUUUCUUUUGCACUCCAUGAUGCCUGGAUGAAUUGUUCACUGAAGGAUAUAGAAUGUCAUGGAUGAGGAUGUUUAAAAUUGGAGUUGAAUCUGUGAGACAAUGGCUGCACUACAGGGCAGAAUAAUCCCUGCACCAUUGUAGGGGAGUUGGGCAGUCCACCCCAGCUCCCCAAAAUUAUGUUCAUUUUACGGA